AGAAGUGUGGCAGAGGAAAUGGUGGAAGAUGGGAAAUCGAAGAAGAGAGUGAGGGAGAUAUGGGUAGUGAGUGGGUGUGCUGAAUCGGUGAAGGAAUGUGGGUCAAUGGGUGCCAUGAGAAAUAUUGAUCAGAAAUGAAGGUUUUUUCUGCAACGAGGUCGGAGAGUAAGAUGAUGGAAGAAGAAAAAGAAGAGGAGGAGGAGGAGGAGGGUAUUCAAAGCGUAUAUACUACGCGGGUUUAGAGGGUUUUGCAGAGGGAGAUUCUGCUGGAAAAAAUUUAGCGGAAUAUGUGCAUGCAAAACUUUACUAGUUUGUUAUGACCAAAUAACAUUUGAAUUAAUGUUUUUCUAAGUUAUUUUUAUUUUAUGUCUUUUGCAGUCUGUGAUAUUUUACCUAUUGAUGUUUUGUCGUAUAUUGAUCAGAAAUGAAGGAUUUUUCUGCAACGAAGUCCGAGAGCAAUAUGAUGGAAGAAGAAGAAGGAGAUGAGGCUAUUCGAAGCGUAUAUACUACGCGGGUUUAGAGGGUUUUGCAGAGGGAGAUUCUGCUGGAAAACAUUUAGCAGUAAAUGUGCAUGCAAAACUUUACUAGUUUGUUAUGACUAAAUAGCAUUUGAAUUAAUGUUUUUGUAAGUUGCUUUAUUUUAUGUCUUUUGCAGUCUCUGUGAUAUUUUACCUAUGGAUGUUCUCUCGGAAACUCUUUUUUUUUUAGCGAAAAACAGAAAAUUUAUACUAUAGCUAAAUAAUG
rnacentral:lncRNA from 1 species